rnacentral:rRNA from 1 species
UACAGAGGGUGCGAGCGUUAAUCGGAUUUACUGGGCGUAAAGGGCGCGUAGGCGGUUAUAUCAGUGUGAUGUGAAAGCCCUGGGCUUAACCUAGGAAGUGCAUCGCAAACAAUAUAGCUAGAGUAGAAGAGAGGGUGGUGGAAUUUCCGGUGUAGCGGUGAAAUGCGUAGAGAUCGGAAGGAACAUCUAUGGCGAAGGCAGCCACCUGGCUUCAUACUGACGCUGAGGCGCGAUAGCGUGGGGAGCAAACAGG